AAAUUGAAGAGUUUGAUCAUGGCUCAGAUUGAACGCUGGCGGCAGGCCUAACACAUGCAAGUCGAACGGUAGCACAGAGAGCUUGCUCUCGGGUGACGAGUGGCGGACGGGUGAGUAAUGUCUGGGAAACUGCCCGAUGGAGGGGGAUAACUACUGGAAACGGUAGCUAAUACCGCAUAACGUCGCAAGACCAAAGAGGGGGACCUUAGGGCCUCUUGCCAUCGGAUGUGCCCAGAUGGGAUUAGCUUGUUGGUGAGGUAACGGCUCACCAAGGCGACGAUCCCUAGCUGGUCUGAGAGGAUG
rnacentral:rRNA from 1 species